AAUCUUUCGGGAUUUAGUGGCGGACGGGUGAGUAACGCGUGAGAAUCUGGCUUCAGGUCUGGGACAACCACUGGAAACGGUGGCUAAUACCGGAUGUGCCCUUCGGGGUGAAAGGUUAACUGCCUGAAGAUGAGCUCGCGUCUGAUUAGCUAGUUGGAAGUGUAAUGGACUCCCAAGGCGACGAUCAGUAGCUGGUCUGAGAGGACGAUCAGCCACACUGGGACUGAGACACGGCCCAGACUCCUACGGGAGGCAGCAGUGGGGAAUUUUCCGCAAUGGGCGAAAGCCUGACGGAGCAAUACCGCGUGAGGGAGGAAGGCUCUUGGGUCGUAAACCUCUUUUCUCAGGGAAGAACACAAUGACGGUACCUGAGGAAUAAGCAUCGGCUAACUCCGUGCCAGCAGCCGCGGUAAUACGGAGGAUGCAAGCGUUAUCCGGAAUGAUUGGGCGUAAAGCGUCCGCAGGUGGCUAUGUAAGUCUGCUGUUAAAGAGUGAGGCUCAACCUCAUAAGAGCAGUGGAAACUACAUUGCUAGAGUACGUUCGGGGCA
rnacentral:rRNA from 1 species